GAUCCCAUUACCAGCACCAUAGUUUCUGCUAAUCAGUUUCCCAUCAUACGUUACGAAUAAAAAAGAUCCCAUUAACAAUUCCAUUAAGUCUGCUAAUCAAUCCCUGAAGCUCCCAUUACAUAAACCUCAAAAGUCAAAAGUGGAAAGAGGUUAUCUUCCAAAGAUUUUUGCUGGACAUAUUGGAAAUACCGUCUUUUGCAAAUAUUAGAUGUUUUUUGAGAAAAGAACCAGCAUCCAUCUCAGUUACUGGGUGGUCGGCUGGCCUUUAUGUUUCUCUAACAAUAGCCGAGAGCAGGCUUGGGGGUUCGAGUAAAGGGACUCAGGCAGCAGUGAUGAAUCUAGGCAAAA